rnacentral:misc_RNA from 1 species
GAAAUGCGAUAAGUAGUGUGAAUUGCAGAAUUCAGUGAAUCAUCGAAUCUUUGAACGCACAUUGCGCCCUUUGGUAUUCCAAAGGGCAUGCCUGUUCGAGCGUCAUUUGUACACUCAAGCUUUGCUUGGUGUUGGGCGUCUUGUCUCUAGCUUUGCUGGAGACUCGCCUUAAAGUAAUUGGCAGCCGGCCUACUGGUUUCGGAGCGCAGCACAAGUCGCACUCUCUAUCAGCAAAGGUCUAGCAUCCAUUAAGCCUUUUUUCAACUUUUGACCUCGGAUCAGGUAGGGAUACCCGCUGAACUUAAGC